AUGCUUAACACAUGCAAGUCGAACGGUAACAGAGAUAGCUUGCUAUCUGCUGACGAGCGGCGGACGGGUGAGUAAUGCUUGGGAAUAUGCCUUUGAGUGGGGGACAACAGUUGGAGACGACUGCUAAUACCGCAUAACGUCUACGGACCAAAGGGGGGGACGCUUCGGCACCUCUCGCUCAUAGAUUAGCCCAAGUGAGAUUAGCUAGUUGGUGAGGUAAUGGCUCACCAAGGCGACGAUCUCUAGCUGGUUUGAGAGGAUGAUCAGCCACACUGGAACUGAGACACGGUCCAGACUCCUACGGGAGGCAGCAGUGGGGAAUAUUGCACAAUGGGCGAAAGCCUGAUGCAGCCAUGCCGCGUGUGUGAAGAAGGCCUUCGGGUUGUAAAGCACUUUCAGCGAGGAGGAAAGGUUUGUAGUUAAUAACUGCAAGCUGUGACGUUACUCGCAGAAGAAGCACCGGCUAACUUCGUGCCAGCAGCCGCGGUAAUACGAGGGGUGCAAGCGUUAAUCGGAAUUACUGGGCGUAAAGCGUGCGUAGGCGGUUUGUUAAGCAAGAUGUGAAAGCCCAGGGCUCAACCUUGGAACUGCAUUUUGAACUGGCAAACUAGAGUACUGUAGAGGGUGGUGGAAUUUCCAGUGUAGCGGUGAAAUGCGUAGAGAUCUGAAGGAACACCAGUGG
rnacentral:rRNA from 1 species